AAAAUGUUUGAUAUUAAAAUAAGCGAAUAAUCAUGAUGACAACUCUUUGAUCAACCUGCCAGCGAAUGGUUACAAUAUUCUCCCAACUUCUAAUUAACAAUCAAAUGGUAUUUUCCAUCUUUGCAAGGGAGGUUUAUUUAAUUAUCAUCAUUUGAAAAUCAUUGAAGAUAGUUGCCAAUAGUGGCACUGGUCAGAAGAACAAAAAAUGAUUAACCAAAAAUAAUGUAUAGAAAUGGCAACAUGGAAUCAGGAGCAAAUGUGAUGAGCCCCUCCUAAGGGCAGUGAGAUACUGAAAAUCAUUACCUUGGACAACCUGAGAGUAAGAUCCAAUGAAAGAAAAGAAGGUGUGAAAUAUGCAUAGAUUGGUAGAUAAGCAGAAUACGUAGUCAUUACAAAAAGGAAGCAAGAUUCUAGUGAGACGAAGUGCAAAAUAACUGAUAAAAAGGAAGCAAGAUUCUAGAAAGCAUGUUACUUAUAAGGCAAAACUUACUUGUGUAACUAACACGCACGAAUUCGAAAUAUGUAACUCCUAUACCUACAUAGCAGGAUAAGCGCAUAACUAAUACAAAAGACAGCGUUGUAAUUGCCCUACAGUUUUCAGUGGGAAAAAAUGAUAAACUUAAAGGAUGGCACAACAUAUUUACAUGUAAUUGUGAAUAAUUAUGAGUACACUUAGCAACACCAUAAGAAACAAAUAAGAACAAGAACAAUGGAUGAAUAAAUUACCCAUCUAGCCAGAACCACUCCCGAACAUCCAUCAAAUUGAACAACACGAAAGCCACAGGAUCACAUGAUUGAUUCCCAUGGGCAUGUUAAACACUACACAAAUGACCCAAUAAUACAUCGUUGGGAAGCCAAUGACUUGAUAAUCACAACAUGCACCAUUCUGCGAUUUUCGUCUACCAUGAAUUAAAGCUCUGUAAUUGGUUACAUUGCAUCUCAGUGCCGAAUAGCACUAAAUUGAAGUGGCUGCUUAAAUUUCAGCACCAAAUUGGAAAGCCCCAAUCAUUUAUGUAUCACACUGGAAAUGAAAGGAAUCAAAUGUGAAACUCAAAUGGUAAAAGACAUUUGAUACACAUAACCAGACCACACAUAUUUAAAUGCGUGAAUCUGAAGUACGUCAGUGUGAUAUACAUGCGUUCAGUGUAGCAGUCAAAGAAGGUGAAACUGAAGUGAGAUAGAUGAUAUACAUGCAAGCAUGGAAAUAAAUCAAGAAAUGAAACUGAAACACGUACUGAACAUGAAAAUUUGUGAGUAAUAGGAGAUUUAGGAGAGCAAGGGCAAACCUCGGCAAGCAGAGCAGCUGACAAAGAGCACUCAGCUGACAACGAAACGAGAGCACACAAGGCCACCUACAAUCCAGUCAAGCGAAGAACCUAGAAGCAUACUAUAGAUGAAUCAGUAGACUAUAAAGGGGAAAAAAUGAAUCAAGAGAAGUGCAUAAAAACAACAAGCAGAUAACCCAUAGAGCACAUCAUCCAUAUAAAACAAUGAGCAGGUGGUAUAGUUGCUUUAGAAAACACAGAGAUUAAACUUAGUAGACGGCCAUCGUCACAAAGCAACAAGCACCACCCACUGCAUACAUCCUUUCCAAAGCACCAACUGAAACAGUCACCAUGCCUACAGUCAGCAAGCAGCAACCAUUGGCUGGUGGUUUACAGUAAUCAUUGGAUAGACCGACACGAGAGAUAUCACUUGGAUCCCCCAGUUCCCUCGCGUCGCCCUCUCGAGGGCGACUCGGGGGCGACCAAUCCCCCCGUCCGCCUCCUCCCCUUCCCCGUUCCUGUCCUCGCCGCCGCCGGAGACGGGCGCCGGGUCCCCUGCGCGGCCGCCGAUGAGGGUGGCGGCGAGGCCCUCGGCCGCGACGCCGCUCGGGCUCGGGCCUAGGGUUUGAGGCGGCGGCCUCUUCUGGUGAGGGCGGCGUCAUCCUGGCGGCGGGCGGCGCUCGCCGGAGUUGAGGGCCGCGUCUACUCGGCCGCGCGGGCGGUGAGUUGGCGGUGGACGCGGGCGCCGCGUGGAGGGAUCCUCUGCUGCUCUCCUUCGCCAGAUCUGAAGACGGCGCCCCCAUGCUGCUGCUUCCUCCUCAUCAGUCCGGCCGGAUCCGGUGGCGGACUGCGCGGAUGUGGGCUUGGGAGCUCUGGAUCGGAGUAAUUUCUUGGUCGGCUGCGGCGGCCACGACGCCGAUGGCGCUCCAGGUGUUGUUUCCUUCUUGAAGGCGGCUUCGAGAUCCAACUCCCUCCCCCUCGUCCUCCCCCUGCACCCGGGUGAAAACCCACAACUUUGGUUGGGCGGCGGCGGUGCCCGGCUCCGUCACCUUCUUGAAGGCGCCGCUUUGGGUCCGCGGGGAGGUGGGACAGCUGCAGCGCGUUCUUGGCGUUCCUGAUGGCGGCAGUUCCUUCUUUAGUGGUGUCGCUUCGCCAUGUCGGUCGGCUGGUCCGACUCUCGUGGUGAUUGUGGUGCUCAACUCUCCGCCGUGUCUUCCUGGGGUGCUCCCGUCCCGUUCAGAGAGGCUGGAGGUGGAGCGGCUUCAUCUUGCACAGAGCUUCGGUGGAGAUGUCAAGUCAUGCCUGACCGACAGGUGCUACGCUUUGUCAUGCCUGGUCGGCAGGUGCUACGCACGACAGCUCUUCCAAAGACUUCAAGCUGUGUCGGCUGAUGGUACUUGGCAGCAUGGUGCUGAGGUGUAUCAGUGGCGUCCGCGACGUGCUCAGCUGUUUGCGCGCAGGGAGGAGGUGUCGUUGGGCGCCGUGGUGGCGUCGACGAUAGCUGGACCGAGCAAGGUUGAUGCAUCAGUACAGUUCUGAAGAUGGAGCGGUGGCAGUUGGCAGCGGCGGCCUCUGAGUGCACGCCGGACCGGUGAGACCCAUGCCCGGCAGGCGUCCUGGAUGGGAUCUCGGGUGUUAGAUGUUAGGUUUGGCUGCGAUGUCUGUUUGGUAUUAGGCCCAGACUAUCUGCGCCACUUCAUCAACUGGAUAAAGGUGCUUAGACGGUGGCUUUAGUUUACUGUUGUAUUACUUUGUAAGGUCUUGUGAGAAUAAUUAAUAAAGUGACCGUAUGCAUCGCCCAGAUGCACAGGCCGGGGGUCAUCCUCCUUUUUUAAAAAAAAACAUGCACAAGUGACACCCAAAGAACCAAACUAAACAGGGACUGCAGCGCACUGCAAACUGAUGACACCACACGAGCAUGCACAUGAGCCAGAACGCACAAACACAUCCUCCAACAAGCAAGGAGCAAGCGAACCAAAGGGAACCAGGAACAAACAGAGAGCACCUUUUUAGAAUAUAGAACGAAUCAACGAAGUAAGGCCAUGAGAGCACAUCUCACAUUGCCGAUCGACAAGCGAGGCCAAGCAAUCGAACAAAGCAGCUGACAGAUAAGGAAACCAAAACAAGCAACACUGUAUUUGAAUAGGUUUAAUAGGAUAAAUUAUCUAUCAGCUAUUUGAUUUAUCUUGUAAAAUCAGUCUACAAGUAAAAAUUGCAAUUAAUAAUCAUUUGUGCUAGGUCAGGUCCAAUGCCGUGGCAUAUUGCACAGAGUUUGAUCAAAUAUUUUCCAUGAAUCAGCAGCCCAUAUUUUAAUUGUGAGUGAAUUCCGGCUUUUACCCCCUAUUUUGACAUUUUUGACACUAAAUACUCCAUUUAGCGAGUUUUCAUCCGUUUUACCCCAUUUAGCAAAACUGUUGCCAUAAUUUACCCCGUUUAAAAUUUUGUGAGCGUUCUGAUUUGUGUGUCACAAUUGUCUGGUCCAGCUGGCAUGCCACAUCAGUAGUUUUUCCUGGCUAUUUUUCUCACCGCUGAACCGGGCCGCGCAGCUUCUCCUGACCGGCCCGGCCCGAUGAAGGCCGCUCAUGUCGUGUCUAACACACAGCGCUCGAGUCAGCCACUCGCCUCCAGUCGCUUCUCGCUUGUGUUGCUCACCCCCAAUUGAUGCAUCGCCCGUCCAAGCUUCCGCUGCACGCUCCCGCCAGGCUCGCUCGAAAAUACAUGAUUUCAUAUUAUAUCAGUAUAUUUACACCACUUUAAUCUGAUCCACAAAGUCAUGCAUAUAUUUAUAUCACUUUAAUCUGAUCCACAGAAUCAUCCAUACUUAAGGUUAUAUAUGAUAAUACUGAAGAAAAACAUACAUGAUUUCAGAUUAUAUCAUUAACAAUUUCUCCUGUAAUUUAUUUAAUGGUAACAUGUCAUGCUAAUCAAGUUCAGUCAUCUCAUCAGAAUACUUCUUCAAACCUAACUACCAAGGAUGAGAAACUGGGAAUGCGGUUAUGCAUAUGGGAGUGGAGAAGACAUGUCAUAUACCGACUGCCACCCAUUGCCUGCCGUUCGUCGGCUACGUCAUCCUGCCCCAUCCUAGCAAAGGAGGCAGUGGUUUGGGGCAGGAUUGUGUGUGUGAUUGGAAGGAAUUAAUACGAGUGAUGUGUGCAGUGAAUAAUGGAGGCCAACAUGGUGCGGCCCAACUCGAGCGUUGUGCAUUGGACAUGAGCGACCUGAUCUGCUGAGCUCAUAUCAGGCCGGACCAGUCGGGAGAAGCUACAAGGACACGUUCAGCAGGGAGAAAACCGUCAAUCUGACGUGCUAGCUGGGCCAGAUAAUUGGGAUCCGCUGAUGAUAACACACACAAAAAAAUUAAACAGGGUAAAUUGUGGCAACAAUUUCGCUAAAUAGGGUAAAACGGAUGAAUUCACGUUAGAUGGGGUAAAUGCUGUCAAAAUUUUCAAAAUAGGGGGUAAAAACCGGAAUUCACUCUUUAAUUGUUGUUGCACACCACAUACGAAAGCAAACUUUCGCCCCACAAUGCACACUGAAGAUCAGGACAGAUUUAAGUAAGGUAGACAUCAACAGAUAUUCAUUCUUAUAUGGCUAUUAACACAAAUCCCAUUACAAAUAGAUGCGGCGCAGAUCAUGCUGGGUCUUCAUCCCAGAUACUAAGGUUUCACCACUACGGAGUUAGUUGACUAUAAUUCUUUUACCCACAAAACCAAGUUCUUAAUACAAAAGAAACUUAAGUCUACAAGAUACGCACACUGAACAAUCAAGAACAAUACAGAAGUGAAUACAGACUGCAAAAACAAUCAGUCAUUAUUCAACAUGAACACCAUCUGAUAAGUAAUAGACAAGAGGAUUUUUAGCUCACCUUCUGAUUUCAUGGUCGCUUUCUCGUGAACUCAUCGAGAGUGAAUACAGACUGCAAAAACAAUCAGUCAUUAUUCAACAUGAACACCACAAAAACUGAAAAGUUUAUUGCACUGGCUUUUGUGAACCUUGACAGUAACUCACCAAUCUCUUGAUGGCUAGAUUAGAGAGAGAGAUUUUUGUGCCUGCUGCACCUUACGAACAAAAAUUGUAACCAACUUCCUCCCUGACAAGUAACAUCCACCUCCACACUUCAGAACCAAAAUCAGAAAUCCCGACGGGAGAAACUGGAAAAAUAGAUGUGAAAUGCGCACUACCUCCUUCUGGCAUAACUGCUGGUGCCCCGGUGGUGCCCUCUGCUUUGAGUACGCGGCGCUCUUCUCCCACUCCACGCGCCCUAACGCCUCCGUGGCGGCGGUUGCCCUCGACGGUCUUCAUCUUCAACAACGCCUCUCCUCUGUAUCUGCUUCCCAGCUGAGAGAAGUCCGGGCUCUCGUCCGUGCCCUGCAGCUUGGUGACCCCCCGGACCGCCGGUUCAUGGCUUGGGGCGAGAACCUGGCGUUCAGCUCACGCGCUGCGUACCGGGUUCUCUCUUCCAACGGAGUGCUCUGCCAGACCUCCAUCGACAUCUGGUGCUCCAAACUACCCUGGAAGAUCAAGAUCUUCGCUUGCUUGCUAGCUCGUGACCGCCUCAGCACGCGUGUGAACCUGUUCGCGAAGAACUGCGCCCCUUCUAGUAUGUGUGCCUCCUGCUCCGCGGAGGAGACUGCUGUGCAUAUUUUCACCUCGUGCGCGCGCGCGGCCUCCACCUGGCGCCGCCUUGGACUGGGCCCAUUCGACUCGGUUGGCGGGAUUCUCUCCUCGCCCCCGGGUGCUCCGACCUCGCCUCCGCUCUGGAAGGACGGGCUCCUAGUGCUGCUUUGGCAGAUCUGGAAAGCCCGGAACAAUGCCACGUUCAACGGCGUCGACUGCAACGUUGGCGAGAUCCUCUCCAGAACUGCGGACGACAUCAUGCUCUGGAGCCAUCGCUACAACGCUCCUGAUCGUGCGCUGUUCCUGGAGACGCGUGCUUUUUUUCUUUCGGCUCUGUAACUCUUCCUCUCCCCCUCUUCGGUUUUUUGCUGCUUAGUUGGUAGUUUUUUAUCUCUUCGAUGAAAAACUCUGUAUGACUGCCAAGUCUUUCGAGUAAUACAACAACCGGUGGGGCCCUAGCCCCCCGUCAUUCUCAAAAAAAAUGAAGAAAUUACACCUGCAGGGUGGAGGAACAUGGCAAAGGAAGAAAGUGAAGAAAUUAGGAUCCGGCCACCCCGGCUCCGACGAUGAUGAGGUCCGUUAGGCCAUCGACUGCCUCGCUCCCUUCGCCGUCAGCGACCGCGCAGCCGUCCUCCAGCGCGGGGAUCCCUUCGACCGGAGCCCUGCGUCGGAGGCGCUGGCGCCCCAGCGCGACGGCGACG
rnacentral:lncRNA from 1 species